GAAUGCUGACAUAAGUAACGAUAAAGCGGGUGAAAAGCCCGCUCGCCGGAAGACCAAGGGUUCCUGUCCAACGUUAAUCGGGGCAGGGUGAGUCGACCCCUAAGGCGAGGCCGAAAGGCGUAGUCGAUGGGAAACAGGUUAAUAUUCCUGUACUUGGUGUUACUGCGAAGGGGGGACGGAGAAGGCUAUGUUAGCCGGGCGACGGUUGUCCCGGUUUAAGCAUGUAGGCUGGUUGUCCAGGCAAAUCCGGAUAAUCAAGGCUGAGGUGUGAUGACGAGGCACUACGGUGCUGAAGUAACAAAUGCCCUGCUUCCAGGAAAAGCCUCUAAGCAUCAGGUAACAUCAAAUCGUACCCCAAACCGACACAGGUGGUCAGGUAGAGAAUACCAAGGCGCUUGAGAGAACUCGGGUGAAGGAACUAGGCAAAAUGGUGCCGUAACUUCGGGAGAAGGCACGCUGGUGUGUAGGUGAAGUCCCUGCGGAUGGAGCUGAGACCAGUCGAAGAUACCAGCUGGCUGCAACUGUUUAUUAAAAACACAGCACUGUGCAAACACGAAAGUGGACGUAUACGGUGUGACGCCUGCCCGGUGCCGGAAGGUUAAUUGAUGGGGUUAUCCGUAAGGAGAAGCUCUUGAUCGAAGCCCCGGUAAACGGCGGCCGUAACUAUAACGGUCCUAAGGUAGCGAAAUUCCUUGUCGGGUAAGUUCCGACCUGCACGAAUGGCGUAAUGAUGGCCAGGCUGUCUCCACCCGAGACUCAGUGAAAUUGAACUCGCUGUGAAGAUGCAGUGUACCCGCGGCAAGACGGAAAGACCCCGUGAACCUUUACUAUAGCUUGACACUGAACAUUGAGCCUUGAUGUGUAGGAUAGGUGGGAGGCUUUGAAGCGUGGACGCCAGUCUGCGUGGAGCCAACCUUGAAAUACCACCCUUUAAUGUUUGAUGUUCUAACGUUGGCCCCUGACCGGGGUUGCGGACAGUGUCUGGUGGGUAGUUUGACUGGGGCGGUCUCCUCCCAAAGCGUAACGGAGGAGCACGAAGGUUAGCUAAUCCUGGUCGGACAUCAGGAGGUUAGUGCAAUGGCAUAAGCUAGCUUGACUGCGAGCGUGACGGCGCGAGCAGGUGCGAAAGCAGGUCAUAGUGAUCCGGUGGUUCUGAAUGGAAGGGCCAUCGCUCAACGGAUAAAAGGUACUCCGGGGAUAACAGGCUGAUACCGCCCAAGAGUUCAUAUCGACGGCGGUGUUUGGCACCUCGAUGUCGGCUCAUCACAUCCUGGGGCUGAAGUAGGUCCCAAGGGUAUGGCUGUUCGCCAUUUAAAGUGGUACGCGAGCUGGGUUUAGAACGUCGUGAGACAGUUCGGUCCCUAUCUGCCGUGGGCGCUGGAGAAUUGAGGGGGGCUGCUCCUAGUACGAGAGGACCGGAGUGGACGCAUCACUGGUGUUCGGGUUGUCAUGCCAAUGGCACUGCCCGGUAGCUAAAUGCGGAAGAGAUAAGUGCUGAAAGCAUCUAAGCACGAAACUUGCCCCGAGAUGAGUUCUCCCUGAGACUU
rnacentral:rRNA from 2 species